GGAGAGGUCGCAUAGUGGCCUAGUGCAGCGGUUUACUAAACCGCCGUGGUGUCAAAACCACCGAGGGUUCGAAUCCCUCCCUCUCCGCCA
rnacentral:tRNA from 1 species